UUUAAUCAAGGUCGGAUGAAG
rnacentral:miRNA from 1 species